rnacentral:rRNA from 1 species
GAUGAACGCUAGCGGCAGGCCUAACACAUGCAAGUCGAGGGGUAGAAGUUGCUUGCAACUUUGAGACCGGCGCACGGGUGCGUAACGCGUAUGCAAUCUACCUUGUACAGGGGGAUAGCCCAGAGAAAUUUGGAUUAAUACCCCAUAGUGUAAUGAAAUCGCAUGGUUUUAUUACUAAAGUUCCAACGGUACAAGAUGAGCAUGCGUCCUAUUAGCUAGUUGGUGUGGUAACGGCACACCAAGGCAACGAUAGGUAGGGGUCCUGAGAGGGGGAUCCCCCACACUGGUACUGAGACACGGACCAGACUCCUACGGGAGGCAGCAGUGAGGAAUAUUGGUCAAUGGGCGCAAGCCUGAACCAGCCAUGCCGCGUGCAGGAAGACGGUCCUAUGGAUUGUAAACUGCUUUUGUACGGGAAGAAACACUCCUACGUGUAGGAGCUUGACGGUACCGUAAGAAUAAGGAUCGGCUAACUCCGUGCCAGCAGCCGCGGUAA